rnacentral:rRNA from 1 species
UACGGAGGGUGCAAGCGUUAUCCGGAUUUACUGGGUUUAAAGGGUGCGUAGGUGGGUAGGCAAGUCAGUGGUGAAAUCUUCGGGCUUAACCCGGAAACUGCCAUUGAUACUAUUUAUCUUGAAUACUCUGGAGGUAAGCGGAAUAUGUCAUGUAGCGGUGAAAUGCUUAGAUAUGACAUAGAACACCGAUAGCGAAGGCAGCUUGCUACACGAGUAUUGACACUGAGGCACGAAAGCGUGGGGAUCAAACAGG